rnacentral:rRNA from 1 species
UGGGGAAUAUUGCACAAUGGGCGCAAGCCUGAUGCAGCCAUGCCGCGUGUGUGAAGAAGGCCUUAGGGUUGUAAAGCACUUUCAGCGAGGAGGAAGGCAUCAUACUUAAUACGUGUGGUGAUUGACGUUACUCGCAGAAGAAGCACCGGCUAACUCCGUGCCAGCAGCCGCGGUAAUACGGAGGGUGCAAGCGUUAAUCGGAAUACUGGGCGUAAAGCGCACGCAGGCGGUUUGUUAAGUCAGAUGUGAAAA